rnacentral:rRNA from 1 species
GUUUGAUCCUGGCUCAGAGCGAACGCUGGCGGCGUGCUUAACACAUGCAAGUCGAACGUGUAACUCCUUGUAGCAAUACAGGGGGCGGGCGCGUGGCGAACGGGUGCGUAACACGUGGGUAACCUUCCCUCAAGUGGGGAAUAACCCGCCGAAAGGCGGGCUAAUACCGCAUAACAUCCCAAUUACUUCGGUGAAUGGGAUCAAAGCCCGCAAGGGUGCAGGAGGAGGGGCCCGCGGCCGAUUAGCUUGUUGGCGAGGUAACGGCUCACCAAGGCAAUGAUCGGUAGCCGGUCUGAGAGGAUGGCCGGCCACACUGGAACUGAGACACGGUCCAGACUCCUACGGGAGGCAGCAGUGGGGAAUCUUGCGCAAUGGGCGAAAGCCUGACGCAGCAACGCCGCGUGGGGGAUGAAGCUUCUCGGAGUGUAAACCCCUUUCGACCCGGACGAACCCCCGCAAGGGAUUGACGGUACGGGUAUAAGAAGCCCCGGCUAACUACGUGCCAGCAGCCGCGGUAAAACGUAGGGGGCCAGCGUUGCUCGGAAUUACUGGGCGUAAAGGGUCCGUAGGCGGUGCGGCAAGUCGGAAGUGAAAUCUCAGGGCUUAACCCUGAGGCUGCUUCCGAAACUGCCGUGCUCGAGUGCGAGAGAGGCGAGUGGAAUUGCAGGUGUAGCGGUGAAAUGCGUAGAUAUCUGCAGGAACAUCCGAGGCGAAAGCGGCUCGCUGGAUCGCAACUGACGCUGAGGGACGAAAGCUAGGGGAGCAAACAGGAUUAGAUACCCUGGUAGUCCUAGCCCUAAACGAUCAGGACUGGGCGUGGGCCUCGUACGGGGCUCGUGCCGCAGCUAACGCGUUAAGUCCUGCGCCUGGGGAGUACGGUCGCAAGGCUGAACUCAAAGGGAAUUGACGGGGGCCCGCACAAGCGGUGGAACAUGUGGUUCAAUUCGACGCAACGCGAGGACCUUACCUGGGCUUGGAGUUGCGCCUGACCUCCCGAGAAAUCGGGACUUCUCGCAAGGGACAGGCGUAAAGUGCUGCAUGGCUGUCCUCAGCUUCCUGCCCGUGAGGGGUUGGGGUUAAUUUCGG